GCCUUCGGGGUGUAGUGGUGAGCACGCUCGGCUCGUAUUCAAGAGCCCACGGUUCGAGUCCCGGCAAGGGCA
rnacentral:tRNA from 1 species